GGUAUCUGCUUCAUCGCCCUACGUGACCUUGACUCCUCCUCUAGAAACAUCUACCCCAACGGAACUACGACACUGUACGAUUUCUCGUUCAUGAUGGAGUGGGCCUCAAACUCUCUCUGUAUCCUAGAGGGAUUUAUCUUCCUGUGUCUCCUAAAGAUGGACUAUAAUGAUAUAACGGAAACAGGGAAAUAUAACUCCUUCAUGUGAUUCUGUUCCGGCAAAAAUCACUCGGAACAUUUGUCGGACUUUGUUAAAACGUCCAUACUGCCCUUUUCAUUGGUGUUUCACAAUGAAAACUGUAGUUUAAAGAAUCGAGCAAGGUGUUUAUUUUCGGAAAUAAUGAUCAUUUUCCAGUUUUUAAACCACCCAUGAACAAUUCUGGGUGUUAAAAAUCGCAUUCCUCUCUUUCCCAUUUAGAAUGGAAGCUAUAGCAACAUGAACUUGUAUUAUACUUCUGGACGAGAAUCGAUUGGUGUUUACCUUCAGAAGUUGUGGCAUAAAUGAUUUAAAUUUUAAGAAAAAAGUUACGUUGAUUCUGAAAAAUUACAAACAUUUUAGUAUGUAAAUGUAUAUAAUGUGUAUGCAAUAAGAAGAACAUUAUAUUUUUGUACUUAAAAACUUGUGUGUUUUAUAUUAAAUACUCAAUACAUUGUAUGAUUAUUUUUAUGGCAUUCAUACUGAUAAAUCUAUUUUUGUUUUGUGAGUUUUGGUUGGUUUUUUUUUUAAAGAUCAUGAUACAUGCUUUAAAGUUGGACAAAAUGAUGAGAUCAAGAAUUUCUACAAUUUGUUUUUCAUGAUUUAUAUUUUUCCCUUUUCUUACCAAUGUAUUCAUUUUUGCUAUACAUAUGUGGGAAUGUAAAAUGCAAUAAAUCUUUUUGGGAUAACACC
rnacentral:misc_RNA from 1 species